ACGAGUUAGGGUCUUCCAGGCCCGACCUCCCAACCCUAUGUUUAUUGAACCUCUGUUGCUUCGGCGGGCCCGUCUCACGACCGCCGGAGGACCGCUGCGAGGCGUCCUCUGGCCCGCGUCCGCCGAUAGCCAACCAAUUAACACUCUGAAUAAAUCGUGUCAUUAUGUCUAAGUCUAUGAUUCAAAAUCAAUAAAGCA
rnacentral:misc_RNA from 1 species